rnacentral:rRNA from 1 species
AUUGAACGCUGGCGGCAGGCCUAACACAUGCAAGUCGAGCGGUAACACAGGGAGCUUGCUCCUGGGUGACGAGCGGCGGACGGGUGAGUAAUGUCUGGGAAACUGCCUGAUGGAGGGGGAUAACUACUGGAAACGGUAGCUAAUACCGCAUAACGUCGCAAGACCAAAGAGGGGGACCUUCGGGCCUCUUGCCAUCAGAUGUGCCCAGAUGGGAUUAGCUAGUAGGUGGGGUAAUGGCUCACCUAGGCGACGAUCCCUAGCUGGUCUGAGAGGAUGACCAGCCACACUGGAACUGAGACACGGUCCAGACUCCUACGGGAGGCAGCAGUGGGGAAUAUUGCACAAUGGGCGCAAGCCUGAUGCAGCCAUGCCGCGUGUAUGAAGAAGGCCUUCGGGUUGUAAAGUACUUUCAGCGGGGAGGAAGGUGUUGAGGUUAAUAACCUCAGCAAUUGACGUUACCCGCAGAAGAAGCACCGGCUAACUCCGUGCCAGCCGCCGCGGUAA